UGCACCUGGAUCCAUACUGCCGUAAUCCACGUGCAUGUGCUGUAUGUAUACGCCGUGUGAAUGUGUGUGUGCGCAUUAACGACGGACAGUCCUGAAUCUUGCUGAUAAACCAGCGCCCGCCGAAAAAUAAGAAACAAGUCAUCCCACUGUGUGUCCCAGUGGUCACUGGUCUCCAUUGAUAGAGCUCCUCCAAAUCCCUCUUCUUGGCUCCGACUCCGGCGAGACUGAUCAUCCUCCCCAGGAGAGAGAGAGACUGUGUGUGAGUGAAUACCUCCCCCCCCCCGUGCAGAGUGUGCGUUGGGCUGAUAGGUGACGGCGUUUCGUCGAGGUCAGAGCUGCUCCGCUGCAUUAAGAGGAUUGUCAGCGGCGAAGAGCAGGAGGAGUCGGCAGGAAGACCGACACAUGCACACGCACGGGGAGGAAGAAAACCUCCUCAAAUCAUUAGAAAUUAAUGUUUAUAUCAUCUCAGGUCCACUCUCACCUGAUCCAACAGAAAUAAUAAAAAUCUAUGAAAAAUGGCA